UCUUUCUUUCUUUCUUUCUUUCUUUCUUUCUUUCUUUCUUUCUUCCUUUCUUUCUUUCUUUCUUUCUUUCUUUCUUUCUUUCUUUCUUUCUUUCUUUCUUUCUUUCUUUCUUCCUUCCUUUCUUUCUUUCUUUCUUUCUUUCUUUCUUUCAUUCUUUCUUUCUUUCUUUCUUUCUUUCUUCUUCUUCUCUUUCUUUCUUUCUCUCUCUUUCUUUCUUUCUUUCUUUCUUUCUUUCUUUCUUUCUUUCUUUCUUUCUUUCUUGCUUUCUUUCUUUCUUGCUUUCUUUCUUUCUUGCUUUCUUGCUUGCUUGCUUCCCUUACUCCCAAGAUCUGUGAUUUUAUUAAUAAUGAUCCAGAUGGUAAUGCCUUACAUAUAGUCUUGAAAAUUUAUAAAAUAGUAUAGCUUUUUUAAAAAAGCAAAGGGAACAGAGUUUGUACACUCUAAGCAAUUAAGCUUGACUUUGAUUCCUGAGAAAAUUCUAGAAUGGAUCAUUAAGGAGAUGAUUAGUGAAUAUCUAGAAAGGAAAGUGAUGAUUACAAAGAGUCAGCAUGGCUUUGUCUAGAAUAAGUCAUGCCAGACUAACUUCAUCUCCUUUAUCUGACAGGAUGACUAAUUUNAACAAGUUUGAGGUAUUCC
rnacentral:lncRNA from 1 species